UUUUCUUUGCACCUCACCAAAGUAGCAAGGAGCUGUUUGGAAAAUGUUAACAUCUGCUAAGGAAAGGGAUUAAUCAAAGCCCUGUAAUUUAUAGACUCAGUUCUUGGACCUUGAUUCAGGUGCUCUUUCUGCUGCUGAGACCGCACAAACUGGCCAGAACGCUGUCCUAAUGGUAAUCAAGGAUUCCCCCUGGCCCUGGGAUGGUCUAAUGCUGCCAUGGCUGGUUCUAUGCCACCUUUCCCAUACCCCUUUCUCCUGACAGAGGGAAGAGCAUGAAGCUUUCAGCCAGCUGGCUGCCGCUGGUAUAACUUACAGCAGCCUUGAGGCUGCUUGGGACCAUUUCAGCCCAGGAUCACCUUACACUCACCUUUACCCAUAUUUCUCUUCAGGACCCAUUUUACUACUGGGAAGACCAGAGCAAACUCAACCAGCUGGGCGCCUAAUGGACCUCCACUGCUCACUGCUACCCGGUUUGGACUCUUCUUGAUGCAUCUUUCUCUGCCAGCCAGUAUUUUCAGCAGAGGAGGAAGGGUGAAAAGAAUUGAACUCGUGAUUGUUGUCAUCCACCUGUUGCCUCUUUUCUUAUCUGUAGAUUGUAAGUUUGUUGGGGGAAAUGGACUGCAUUUUUGUGCUGCAUUUGUACAACUCCAGGUGUGGUGGAGCCUGGUAUAUGCCAACACCUUGUAAGUGCUACUACAGUACAAAUAUGUGAAAAAUUAAAACAGUUACAAUGCCCUAUUGUAAUUCACCAGAAGCAGGAAAAAAUAUCUGAGAUCCACACCUGCCUUUUUACUUGCUCAAACUCAUUCUGUUUGGACAAGUGUCUUUCACCGUAACCUUCACAGAUCGCUACCCUGAGCAGAAAGGGAAAUUCGUUCAAGUUAAUGGAUUCCAAAAAUGUCCAAUGCAGGUAUGAUCAUUCUGGAGGGGAAGGAGGAAUUUUCUCAACCUAAUCCAGUUGGCUGUUCAUUAGACUUCAACUUUAACUGGACAUAUGGGCUUGGGGGCCACUGUGGGCACAACCCUUUGAUAUCGGAGCUGAAUUGGGUUUGGCUGACUGCAGGCCCUGAGCAUGUAUCUUCACUUUCACACUAUAUUUUUCAUUUUCUGCCAUUUCAGAAAUGUUCUAUGGAACUGGGUUGAAACCAACAGGGCUUAAUGGAAUUUUAAUAGGAUACUUUAGAAAUUACUUUCUAAACUUACAUAAUUUGAUAGAGCAUUAUAUCUCUUCUGUAACUAUCCUACAGUUCUUUAGAGGGGAUAUAUUUAAAAUGUAUUUAAAUGUCAUAGAAUGGCUCACAAAACCACUAAAUGGUCUAAAUUUGAUAGGACUUUGGCAUAGUGGUGUCCUGAACUAUCACAUAAGUGCCAAUGUACAUUUUCAGGUAUGGCUUUAUCAAGGUCUUAUGUAGAGUUUAGAUUAUGGUUUGCAUAGGAUGGCUUUAGUCCCACUAAAGGCAUACAUCUAGUGUUAAGAACAUGAAUAGUCCCACUAAAAGCAUACAUUUAUGCCUAAAAAUAGACACAUGCUUAAAAAUCUUACUAAACUGAGGUCUGGUGAUUUUUUUCCUCUAGAGACAGCUGCAUUUCAGUAAGGUGAAGUCAGCCCAGUUCACGUAGAACCACAUUUUGCCCUCUGGGAUCAGUGUGAAAUUGCCAGUGGCUUUAAAGGGAGUUUUCUGAGCACCUCUGAAGGCAGAAUUCAGCCUGUUGAUGUGUGGAUGAAAGGUGCUGUAUAAAUGUCAGCCUUUAUUAUUGUUACAAAUUUCCGGCUUCUGUUAUUAAGACAUUUUUAUGUGGAUCUUUGUACGUCUCGAAGUCUGCGAGUUUGGACUAAAUGCUUGUCACAAGUUUUACUGGCAUCCUGUGGUGGGGGGAUUGCUUUAACUUUGUGCUCUUCUAACCUUUCCUUCUGUUCAGGGAAUAAACCUCUUAAAAAAAAAAUCCCACAACCUCAUAAAAAUGGAGUAAACUCUG